GACGAACGCUGGCGGCGUGCUUAACACAUGCAAGUCGAACGGAAAGGCCCUGCUUUUGUGGGGUGCUCGAGUGGCGAACGGGUGAGUAACACGUGAGUAACCUGCCCUUGACUUUGGGAUAACUUCAGGAAACUGGGGCUAAUACCGGAUAGGAGCUCCUGCUGCAUGGUGGGGGGUGGAAAGUUUCGGCGGCUGGGGAUGGACUCGCGGCUUAUCAGCUUGUUGGUGGGGUAGUGGCUUACCCAGGCUUUGACGGGUAGCCGGCCUGAGAGGGUGACCGGCCACAUGGGGACUGGGAUACGGCCCAGACUCCUACGGGAGGCAGCAGUGGGGAAUAUUGCACAAUGGGCGGAAGCCGGAUGCAGCAACGCCGCGUGCGGGAUGACGGCCUUCGGGUUGUAAACCGCUUUCGCCUGUGACGAAGCGUGAGGGACGGUAAUGGGUAAAGAAGCACCGGCUAACUACGG
rnacentral:rRNA from 1 species